GGGGCCAUCGCCUCGCUGCUUGUCCUCCGGCCUCCGGCGCCGCCUGCCAGGCAUGGAGGCACCGGCGCCCUCCACAGCCUCCGCCGGCCCUCCUCCCUCCGCCUACUCCCCUCUAUCCAAAUCUGCUCGUCGCCCCAAAACUGCACUGCAUCACAGGCGCGGGCGUAGCUGCUCCUCUGUCCCCUCCCUCCCGCCCGCCCUUCGCCUCCAGAUCCACGAGGCCGUGCAGCCGCGUAGGCGCGGGUGCGGCACCGGCACGCCACCGUGCCCCCAGCUUGCCCGUUGGCCUGUUGGGUAAACAAAUCGGCUGGCCCGCCCUCCUCCCUUGAUACAACCAAGAUGGAUCGAAGUUGGGUGCAUGCGAGAAUGUUUUCUACUGAACACAUCGAUGGUGUCAAACAAUUUAUGAGCUUCGUUCAAGGAAAAUUCAGUGAGAAUGUCGAAAUUUUGUGCCCAUGUGCUAGAUGCCUUAAUCAGAAGUACCUUUGUCAACCCCUUGUCAAGAAGCACAUAUUGAUGAAUAGAAUGGACAACAGUUAUACUCGGUGGAUUCAUCAUGGAGCGAGCUUAGAUGUGGAUGUAAUUGAGCAUCCUAAUGAUAUGCAUGACAAUGCUGAGGGGGUAUAUGGGCAAUGUGUGAUAGAGGACGACAGUGCUGAUCGCUUGGAAGGGAUGUUAGGAGACCUACACACUGCAGCUGAACAAGAAGAGACGAUGGAGAAAAUCAGGAUGGUGAUACAGAACCUCAUCACCAAGAGUCUUUUUUAAAAAUAAUCAUGAGAGAGGCAAAUCGUCAACUUUAUCCUGGAUGUACCAAAUUUUCAAGAUUCUCUUUUGUGGUACAGCUUCUUCGUAUGAAAUCGCUAUAUAGGAUAAGCAAUUCUGUCUUUUCAGCAAUAUUGAAGCUAUUGGCUGAAGCUUUCCCGGAAUGCAAUGCACUCCCCACUUCAUAUAAUGAAGCAAAGAAUCUUCUAAAAGAGUUAGGUCUCGGAUAUGAAUCGAUACAUGUGUGCUUCAAUAAUUGUGUGUUGUUCAGAAAGCAAUAUGCCAAACAUGACAAUUGUCCCA